CACCCCGAACUCCUACAAGGGUCGGACUUCAAGCUUCUACUGCAAGCGACCCACUCUGAGCUUCUGCUACAAAUGAUCUACUUUAAAUUUCUAUCACGAGCGAUCCGUGCCAGAUUCAUUGUGGACGAAUUCCUUUUGGAUUUCUAUUACAGACAGGCCUCGGCCGAGAUUCCUCGAUAAAUGAUCCCCAUCUGGGCUUCUACGGAGAUCGGACUCCAACCGAACUUCGACCGAUAGGUCUGGACCCCCU
rnacentral:lncRNA from 1 species